GUGGCACGCUUCGCCUUUUGGCUAAGAUCAAGUGUAGUAUCUGUUCUUAUCAGUUUAAUAUCUGAUACGUUCCCAUUCAAAAUUCAUAUAUUAAAUGAUUUUGGAAACAGGAGAUGGAAUAGGGGCUUGCUCCGUCCACCCAAUUUUGCUCACCUAAAGUUGUAGUACUUCCAGAGCGUGAAUUUCUUUU